AAGGCAAAGAAUGACAAAAAGCAACCUUGCAGGAAUGGAGGAAUCUGGCCAGAGCUGUGCCCCUGCUUGCCACAGGAGCUGCGCGGGAGGAGAAGAAUGUGGGCCAAAAGGAAUGGAGGAAUCUGGCCAGAGCUGUGCCCCUGCUUGCCACAGGAGCUGCGCGGGAGGAGAAGAACGUGGGCCAAAAGGUAAGAGGAGCUCCUUUGGGUUCUGGGCUUGAAGCAAAGCUGAGAAGCCAUGCCCGGGAGGAGGUGUGGGUAGCUACAGGCCACCUUGCUAUCUCCCCAAGAGAUGAGGUGUGUGGGCUAGGCACCGGGCAGGAGUGCUGGCCAGAAGCAAGCAUCUCUGUGGAGGAAGGCAAAGGGCGGAGGAGGUUCAAGGGUAGCUACCGGGCAUGGCCUUGCUCAGCAAGGGGAGGAAAAGCCUGAAGGGCACGAGAAGGGGACAGAGAAGGGCAGGCAGUAGGCGUGAAG
rnacentral:lncRNA from 7 species